AAAAAAUAAGUUUUUGGAGCGGGGAGUAUUCGGAUAGUCGUUUUUGAAUAAAAUGAAAUUGGUAAAAUGGUAGCUUACCUGGUUUAGAGCGCCGCGUCGCAUCGCAUGCUGCUACCGACUGAUUCUAAACUGCCGGAUUAUUUCCAACGGAAACGGCCGAUAUCUAGCCUGACAAUGGAAAUACACGAAAUUGGGCUGAAUCCUAGAUUACCUGUCCCAUCUUCGCGCGACACACGCGACGCGUCUUUGAGGACAGACAUUUCCUUAAAUCAAUGCCUGUUAUUCUGUUUAACCUCGUCGUACGCUUGCU
rnacentral:lncRNA from 1 species